rnacentral:rRNA from 1 species
AAUGAACGCUGGCGGCGUGCCUAAUACAUGCAAGUCGAGCGACGCGGGGACGGGUGAGUAACACGUGGAGACCCUCCUCUAAGACUGGGUUAACUUCCUGAAACCGGAACUUAACCGGCUUCUUUUCGAUGGAUCCGCACUGCAUUAGCUAGUUGGUAAGGUAACGGCUUACCAAGGCCACGAUGCAUAGCCGACCUGAGAGGGUGAUCAGCCACACUGGAACGGAGACACGGUCCAGACUCCUACGGGAGGCAGCAGUAGGGAAUCUUCCGCAAUGGGCGAAAGCCUGAUGGAGCCAUGCCGCGUGAGUGAUGAAGGUCUUCGGAUCGUAAAACUCUGUUAUUAGGGAAGCGGUACCUAAUCAGAAAGCAACGGCGAACUACGUGCCAGCCGCCGCGGUAAUUC